rnacentral:rRNA from 1 species
UACGAAGGGGGCUAGCGUUGUUCGGAUUUACUGGGCGUAAAGCGCACGUAGGCGGGUUGUUAAGUCAGGGGUGAAAUCCUGGAGCUCAACUCCAGAACUGCCUUUGAUACUGGCAACCUAGAGGCUGGAAGAGGUUAGUGGAAUUCCCAGUGUAGAGGUGAAAUUCGUAGAUAUUCGCAAGAACACCAGUGGCGAAGGCGGCUGACUGGUCCGGUUCUGACGCUGAGGCGCGAAAGCGUGGGGGAGCAAACAGGGAUUAGAAACCC